GACGAACGCUGGCGGCGUGCCUAAUACAUGCAAGUAGAACGCUGAAGGAGGAGCUUGCUUCUCUGGAUGAGUUGCGAACGGGUGAGUAACGCGUAGGUAACCUGCCUGGUAGCGGGGGAUAACUAUUGGAAACGAUAGCUAAUACCGCAUAAUAGUAGAUGUUGCAUGACAUUUGCUUAAAAGGUGCAAUUGCAUCACUACCAGAUGGACCUGCGUUGUAUUAGCUAGUUGGUGAGGUAACGGCUCACCAAGGCGAGGAUACAUAGCCGACCUGAGAGGGGGGUCGGCCACACUGGGAGGGAGACACGGCCCAGAGGCCUACGGGAGGCAGCAGGAGGGAAUCGUCGGGAAUGGACGGAAGACUGACCGAGCAACGCCGCGUGAGUGAAGAAGGGUGUCGGAUCGGAAAGCUCGGUUGUAAGAGAAGAAAGAGUGUGAGAGUGGAAAGUUCACACUGUGACGGUAUCUUACAAGAAAGGGACGGCUAACUACGUG
rnacentral:rRNA from 1 species